rnacentral:rRNA from 1 species
AGGAAUAUUGGUCAAUGGACGGAAGUCUGAACCAGCCAUGCCGCGUGCAGGAUGAAUGUGCUAUGCAUUGUAAACUGCUUUUGUACGAGGGUAAACACAGAUACGCGUAUCUGCUUGAAAGUAUCGUACGAAUAAGGAUCGGCUAACUCCGUGCCAGCAGCCGCGGUAAUACGGAGGAUCCGAGCGUUAUCCGGAUUUAUUGGGUUUAAAGGGUGCGUAGGCUGUUUUUUAAGUUAGAGGUGAAAGCUCGACGCUCAACGUCGAAAUUGCCUCUGAUACUGAGAGACUAGAGUGUAGUUGCGGAAGGCGGAAUGUGUGGUGUAGCGGUGAAAUGCUUAGAUAUCACACAGAACACCGAUUGCGAAGGCAGCUUUCCAAGCUAUUACUGACGCUGAGGCACGAAAGCAUGGGGAGCGAACAGGAUUAGAUACCCUGGUAGUCCACGCAGUAAACGAUGAUAACUCGUUGCCGGCGAUACACAGUCGGUGACUUAGCGAAAGCGUUAAGUUAUCCACCUGGGGAGUACGUUCGCAAGAAUGAAACUCAAAGGAAUUGACGGGGGCCCGCACAAGCGGAGGAACAUGUGGUUUAAUUCGAUGAUACGCGAGGAACCUUACCCGGGCUUGAAAGUUAGCGACGGACCGAGAAAUCGGUCUUCCCUUCGGGGCGCGAAACUAGGUGCUGCAUGGUUGUCGUCAGCUCGUGCCGUGAGGUGUCGGGUUAAGUCCCAUAACGAGCGCAACCCCUACCGUUAGUUGCCAUCAGGUCAAGCUGGGCACUCUAGCGGGACUGCCGGUGUAAGCCGAGAGGAAGGUGGGGAUGACGUCAAAUCAGCACGGCCCUUACGUCCGGGGCGACACACGUGUUACAAUGGCCGGUACAGAGGGUAGCUACCUGGUGACAGGAUGCCAAUCUCGAAAGCCGGUCUCAGUUCGGAUUGGAGGCUGAAACUCGCCUCCAUGAAGUUGGAUUCGCUAGUAAUCGCGCAUCAGCCAUGGCGCGGUGAAUACGUUCCCG